rnacentral:rRNA from 1 species
GACGAACCGUCCAAACGUUAUUCGGAAUCACUGGGCUUACAGAGUUCGUAGGCGGUCUGGAAAGUUGGGUGUGAAAUCCCUCGGCCUAACCGAGGAACUGCGCUUGAAACUACCAGACUCGAGGGGGAUAGAGGAAAGCGGAACUGAUGGUGGAGCGGUGAAAUGCGUUGAUAUCAUCAGGAACACCGGUGGCGAAGGCAGCUUUCUGGGUCUUACCUGACGCUGAGGAACGAAAGCCAGGGGAGCGAACGGG